rnacentral:sRNA from 1 species
UGUUGUUGACAGACAUAAUAACUAUCGA